AAGAAAGUGACAGAAGGGUUUUGUGGCUGGCUUGAAACCAGUUUAUGGGGGUUCGAGUCCUCCCUUUCUCG
rnacentral:tRNA from 28 species